rnacentral:lncRNA from 1 species
UUCUGAAUGCUAUCUUUUUGGCCUUCUCAGCUCUCAGCUUGGCUGCCAUCCUUAGUGGCAUUCUCAUCUUUGUUGAGUGAAGCUUUGAUCUGUAUGAGUCCUUCUUCAAAGCUGCUUCACUUCCACCUUAGUAGUCUCACUGUCACUAAGACUUGUUCUAUUAAUCUUUGGUGGAACUCGUAGAGUCAACAAUAGCAUUCACCAACUCAACGAUUCUGCAACAAUAAAUCAUCAGCAACUCUUGAUCUUUGAGGCUCUGUUGAUUUAUACUACUUCCCAAUCUUCCCAUUGGAAAGUAGCCGUUGAAAGUUAUUCAAAUUGCUUUGCAGAUCUCGAGCUAUUUGGUGUAGACUGCAGAUGUGACAU